AGGACGAACGCUGGCGGCGUGCUUAACACAUGCAAGUCGAGCGGAAAGGCCCUUCGGGGUACUCGAGCGGCGAACGGGUGAGUAACACGUGAGCAACCUGCCCUUAGCUUCGGGAUAGCUCCGGGAAACCGGAAUUAAUACCGGAUAUGACUAUGGCCGACAUCAGCCAUGGUGGAAAGUUUUUCGGCUAGGGAUGGACUCGCGGCCUAUCAGCUAGUUGGUGAGGUAACGGCUCACCAAGGCGACGACGGGUAGCCGGCCUGAGAGGGCGACCGGCCACACUGGGACUGAGACACGGCCCAGACUCCUACGGGAGGCAGCAGUGGGGAAUAUUGCGCAAUGGGCGAAAGCCUGACGCAGCGACGCCGCGUGGGGAUGAAUGCCUUCGGGUGUAAACCCCUUUCAGCAGGGACGAAGCGAAGUGACGGUACCUGCAGAAGAAGCGCCGGCUAACUACGUGCCAGCAGCCGC
rnacentral:rRNA from 1 species